AGCGAACGCUGGCGGCGUGCUUAACACAUGCAAGUCGCGCGCGAAAGGAGGCUUUCGGGUCUUGAGUAGAGCGGCGCACGGGUGCGUAAGACGCGGGUGACCUAUCCACGAGGUGGGGAUAACCCUUCGAAAGAGGGGCUAAUACCGGAUGAGCCCACAGGCAGAGAUGCUAGGGGGCAAAGGGUGCGAUUUACUAAGCGCAUCUCUUCGUGGCGGGCCCAC
rnacentral:rRNA from 1 species